rnacentral:misc_RNA from 1 species
GAUGAAGAACGUAGCGAAAUGCGAUAAGUAAUGUGAAUUGCAGAAUUCAGUGAAUCAUCGAAUCUUUGAACGCACAUUGCGCCCGCCAGUAUUCUGGCGGGCAUGCCUGUCUGAGCGUCAUUUCAACCCUCAUGCCCCUAGGGCGUGGUGUUGGGGAUCGGCCAAAGCCCGCGAGGGACGGCCGGCCCCUAAAUCUAGUGGCGGACCCGUCGUGGCCUCCUCUGCGAAGUAGUGAUAUUCCGCAUCGGAGAGUGAUGAGCCCCUGCCGUUAAACCCCCAACUUUCCGAGGUUGACCUCAGAUCAGGUAGGAAUACCCGCUGAACUUAAGCAUAUCAAUAAGCGGAGGA